UCCUACGGGAGGCUGCAGGCGCGAAAACUUUACAAUGCGGGCAACCGCGAUAAGGGGACCUCGAGUGCUGGGUUACAAACCUGGCUGUUGGGCUGCCUAAAAAGCAGUCUAUAGCAAGGGCCGGGCAAGACCGGUGCCAGCCGCCGCGGUAACACCGGCGGCUCGAGUGGUAACCGCCAUUAUUGGGUCUAAAGGGUCUGUAGCCGGCCGACUAAGUCUCUUGGGAAAUCUGGCAUCUCAAGUGUCAGGCUGGCAGGGGAUACGGGUCGGCUUGGGACCGGGAGAGGUGAGAGGUACCUCGGGGGUAGGGGUGAAAUCUUGUAAUCCUCGAGGGACCACCAGUGGCGAAGGCGUCGCACCAGAACGGAUCCGACGGCAAGGGACGAAAGCUAGGGGCACGAACCGGAUUAGAUACCCCAGUAGUCCGC
rnacentral:rRNA from 1 species